rnacentral:rRNA from 1 species
AACGAACGCUGGCGGCAGGCCUAAAACAUGCAAGUCGAACGCCCCGCAAGGGGAGUGGCGCACGGGUGAGUAACGCGUGGGAACGUGCCCUUCAGUACGGAACAACGUCGGGAAACUGACGCUAAUACCGUAUAAUAUCUCCGGAUCAAAGAUUUAUCGCUGAAGGAGCGGCCCGCGUCUGAUUAGCUAGUUGGUGAGGUAAAGGCUCACCAAGGCUACGAUCAGUAGCAGGUCUGAGAGGAUGAUCUGCCACACUGGGACUGGGACACGGCCCAGACUCCUACGGGAGGCAGCAGUUAGGAAUAUUGGACAAUGGGCGAAAGCCUGAUCCAGCCAUGCCGCGUGUGUGAUGAAGGCCUUAGGGUUGUAAAGCACUUUCGUUGGGGAUGAUAAUGACCGUACCCAAAGAAGAAGCCACGGCUAAAUUCGUGCCAGCCGCCGCGGUAA